UACGUAGGUGGCGAGCGUUAUCCGGAUUUAUUGGGCGUAAAGCGUGCGCAGGCGGUUUAUUAAGUCUAAGAUUAAAGCCCGGAGCUUAACUCCGGUUCGUCUUAGAAACUGGUAGACUUGAGUAUGGUAGAGGCAAAUGGAAUUCCUAGUGUAGCGGUGAAAUGCGUAGAUAUUAGGAGGAACACCAGUGGCGAAGGCGGCUUACUGGACGGCGACUGACGCUGAGGCUCGAAAGCGUGGGGAGCAAACAGG
rnacentral:rRNA from 1 species